UAAAAUGUUAAUAAAUGGUGAACUUAUAUCUAAUAUGGAAAAAACAUUAAUCGAAGCCAUCGAGAUAAACUUCUAAAUAUUUACAUUUAUAUGUAAUAUUUCAACCAAGUUCGUUGAUUUAAAUAAAUAUUGAAACUCAGGCAACACUGCUGAUGGUAACAACAAUUUGCAUUAGAAGUAAUUUUUUUCUCUCUCUGUUAAUAGUUCUAUCCCUUCUACUGGAGUAUUAUGAAUGUACAAGUUGGCUAACUUGAUAGACAGCUGAUUAUACAGUGUUGCCUUGUUGCCUAAGUUUCAGUAUAUAUCGUUAAACCAAUUAUAAUUUACUAUUUUAUUUGGCUAUCAGCCACAAUUUAAGUGUGAAAUUAAAUUUAUUUGGCGUUUUAUCCUAAGUUGCCAUAAGAAAAUAGCUUCAGAACAAUACAGUAUAAAAUUGUUUGAAAUAAGUUACGUUUUUAAGUAAAUAUUUAUAAAUAAUAUGUAAUAAUUCAUCUCGAUGGCUUCCAUUAACGUUUUAUUCACUUAACAAAUCGGAGAUCCAAAAGUUUUUUUGAUCCAAAAUUGAGGAUUUGAAAUGGAAUCACCCGUAAUUAUAUGGUAUAAGUUCUUGGCUUGUGGCAGGUGUCGUCCAUUGACGAUUGACGACUCUCUGGAAUUGACCUAGCAGCUUGGUCUUCUGGCCAGUCUUUUUAGGCUUAGGAGUCUGUCAAUCACUGGAGGGUUUUGAAUUUUAAACUUUAUCGCAGAGUAAAUGUUGAAAAAUACUUUUUAUUGUACCUAUUAUAUUAUAUAAACAAUGAAAUAUUAUUCUGGUCCAGAUAAUAAAAAUAUUAUUUAUAACAAUUA